CCUACCUGAGGUAUAGACAUCUGCAGGCUCCUCCAUGUCAUUUCUCCUGCACGAUAUGUUUUCCCCUUCAUAAGCCGUUUUUGCUUUCCCUGUUGACAGAAAGUCCCGCCCCACCAUGGCUACAGCCAAUCAGAAUCGAUAGAGGGCAGUCCGUUUUGAUUGGCUCGUCUGCAACAGCAAUAAUGGAAUACUGCUUGCUCAUUGGAUUACAUAAAUGUUCCCACCCUCUGCUGGAAGGCGAUUGGCUGAGAGCUGCUAGGGCGGGGAAUCUGAGUCAUAUAGUUUAGAUGCCAAUGAGGGCAGGAAUACUGGAUGCUGCAAGUAAGUUGAAGGAAGCCUGACACCUGACUUAGAUGUAGAGAUCAUGGAGGGGGUUUCUUCAGGUAAAGAACCCCUGGAGCCCUUUACAAUGGAAAGGAAGAUUCUGUGUGAAAGAUGAAGAAGCUGGACUCUAGAAAUCCUAAACGUUGAUACCAGGACAGCACAGAAAAUUGACAAUGGUAAUAUAGGCAGGGCCAGGCCAAGCCAGCCAGCCCCCUCGCACCCCCUGCACACAUGUACAACCACAGGCACGCGCACGCACAAGAGCACAUUGCCGGCAAGAGAGGACAAGGGUCAUGACUAGGGGUAUUUUCUGGAUAACAUGGGAAGAUCUACGAGUGGGAUCUACUUGAGUGGAAACCAAAGUCUUUUGAAGAAUCCACCUGCAUACACAGGUGUGGUUUCUGCUACAUGGAACUGGAGAAUAUCCCGGCUGGUGUCUAUAACAUUAUAACUACUACAUUUCUGCCUGCCCAGGAGGGACCCUUCUUUUUAGACUUCAACACCGCAUUAGCCAUUAAGGUGACCCAACUCCAGUGACCCGGGAAUUAAAAUCCGUUCUUCCAAGUGACAAAGAUUUGCAAGCAGAUUCCCAGUUCAAAGAGGCAUGAAAGAUCCUGCAUUUCCCUGAUGUGACAUUGUGCAUCUCCAGUACGGCUCACAGUCUUGUACAAUCAGAAUCUUCAAGGGAGUUGGGUACCACAGACAGCCCAAAUGUAACUUGUACUUGAAUCUUGUUUCAAAGGAUAGUGCUAUAAAACAUAUUUUUUCAA